rnacentral:ncRNA from 1 species
UAUGCCUCGAACUCGAUAGGUUUCCCCGCCUCAGCCUGAGGUCGGGGGAUGAAAAGGGAAGCCGGUGAGAAUCCGGCGCAGGGCCGCUGCUGUAUUCGGUCAGAAGAACGGGCAUCACCGCCACUACGGCGCCCGCCGUGGGAAGGCCGCCCGAACUUCGCGACGAACCGAAAGCCAGAAGACCUGCCUGUCGAGCGUCGUUCGG